AUUGAACGCUGGCGGCAUGCCUUGCACAUGCAAGUCGAACGGCAGCACGGGAGCAAUCCUGGUGGCGAGUGGCGAACGGGUGAGUAAAGUAUCGGAACGUGCCCAGUCGUGGGGGAUAACGUAGCGAAAGUUUCGCUAAUACCGCAUACGAUCUAUGGAUGAAAGCGGGGGAUCGCAAGACCUCGCGCGAUUGGAGCGGCCGAUAUCAGAUUAGGUAGUUGGUGGGGUAAAGGCUCACCAAGCCGACGAUCUGUAGCUGGUCUGAGAGGACGACCAGCCACACUGGGACUGAGACACGGACCAGACUCCUACGGGAGGCAGCAGUGGGGAAUUGUGGACAAUGGGCGAAAGCCUGAUCCAGCCAUGCCGCGUGCAGGAUGAAGGCCUUCGGGUUGUAAACUGCUUUUGUACGGAACGAAAAGGUUUGGCCUAAUAAGCUGAGCUCAUGACGGUACCGUAAGAAUAAGCACCGGCUAACUACGUGCCAGCAGCCGCCGUAA
rnacentral:rRNA from 1 species